rnacentral:rRNA from 1 species
GACGAACGCUGGCGGCGUGCCUAAUACAUGCAAGUCGAACGCACAGUUUAUACCGUAGCUUGCUACACCAUAAACUGUGAGUUGCGAACGGGUGAGUAACGCGUAGGUAACCUGCCUGGUAGCGGGGGAUAACUAUUGGAAACGAUAGCUAAUACCGCAUAAUAUUAAUUAUUGCAUGAUAAUUGAUUGAAAGAUGCAAUUGCAUCACUACCAGAUGGACCUGCGUUGUAUUAGCUAGUAGGUGAGGUAACGGCUCACCUAGGCGACGAUACAUAGCCGACCUGAGAGGGUGAUCGGCCACACUGGGACUGAGACACGGCCCAGACUCCUACGGGAGGCAGCAGGAGGGAAUCUUCGGAAAUGGACGAAAGUCUGACCGAGCAACGCCGCGUGAGUGAAGAAGGGUUUCGGAUCGUAAAGCUCUGUUGUAAGAGAAGAACGGGUGUGAGAGUGGAAAGUUCACACUGUGACGGUAUCUUACCAGAAAGAGACGGCUAACUACGUG